UACGGAGGUGGCAAGCGUUGCUCGGAAUCACUGGGCGUAAAGGGCGCGUAGGCGGCCAGAUAAGUCCGCUGUGAAAUCCCUCGGCUUAACCGGGGAACUGCAUCUGAUACUGGAUGGCUUGAAUCCGGGAGAGGGAUGCAGAAUUCCAGGUGUAGCGGUGAAAUGCGUAGAUAUCUGGAGGAAUACCGGUGGCGAAGGCGGCAUCCUGGACCGGCAUUGACGCUGAUGAGCGAAAAGCUAGGGGAGCAAACGGG
rnacentral:rRNA from 1 species